rnacentral:misc_RNA from 1 species
GAUGAAGAACGUAGCAAAAUGCGAUAAGUAAUAUGAAUUGCAGAAUUCAGUGAAUCAUCGAAUCUUUGAACGCACAUUGCGCCCGCCAGUAUUCUGGCGGGCAUGCCUGUUCGAGCGUCAUUUCAACCCUCAAGCACAGCUUGGUGUUGGGACUCGCGUUAAUUCGCGUUCCCCAAAUUGAUUGGCGGUCACGUCGAGCUUCCAUAGCGUAGUAGUAAAACCCUCGUUACUGGUAAUCGUCGCGGCCACGCCGUUAAACCCCAACUUCUGAAUGUUGACCUCGGAUCAGGUAGGAAUACCCGCUGAACUUAAGCAUAUCAAUAAGCGGAGGA